CAACAUUCCGAAAGGAGUGCUAAUACCGGAUGUGAUCAUCGUGCCGCAUGGCAGGAUGAAGAAAGAUGGCCUCUACAAGUAAGCUAUCGCUAAAGGAUGGGCCUGCGUCUGAUUAGCUAGUUGGUAGUGUAACGGACUACCAAGGCGAUGAUCAGUAGCCGGUCUGAGAGGAUGAACGGCCACAUUGGGACUGAGACACGGCCCAAACUCCUACGGGAGGCAGCAGUGGGGAAUCUUCCGCAAUGGACGAAAGUCUGACGGAGCAACGCCGCGUGAGUGAUGAAGGAUUUCGGUCUGUAAAGCUCUGUUGUUUAUGACGAACGUGCAGUGUGUGAACAAUGCAUUGCAAUGACGGUAGUAAACGAGGAAGCCACGGCUAACUACGUGCCAGCAGCCGCGGUAAUACGUAGGUGGCGAGCGUUGUCCGGAAUUAUUGGGCGUAAAGAGCAUGUAGGCGGCUUAAUAAGUCGAGCGUGAAAAUGCGGGGCUCAACCCCGUAUGGCGCUGGAAACUGUUAGGCUUGAGUGCAGGAGAGGAAAGGGGAAUUCCCAGUGUAGCGGUGAAAUGCGUAGAUAUUGGGAGGAACACCAGUGGCGAAGGCGCCUUUCUGGACUGUGUCUGACGCUGAGAUGCGAAAGCCAGGGUAGCGAACGGGAUUAGAUACCCCGGUAGUCCUGGCCGUAAACGAUGGGUACU
rnacentral:rRNA from 1 species